AAAUUUUAAAUAAAUUCAACACAAAUAGAAGUAUAUAUAAAUAGGGAGUCCGGCUGCUAUGCAAUCGAUAGCACCAAACACUUGGUGCUAUCAAGUUUUCUGCCGUUAGAUUAAUCCCUUUGAUUAUUUUUAUCCGUUAGAUUAUAUUAUUGAACCAACCACUCACUCAACCCCAGAAGGCCCACAUCAUCCUAACUGCAUAUUUCUCAAUUCAAGGGCUAAAAAUUCAAUAGCACCAAUAACUUAGUGCUAUUGAUAGUAUUCCAGCUUAGUUCUAUAAAUAGGUGUACAAUAAUAUAUAAAGGAUCUUAUAUUAUAAAUACCA
rnacentral:lncRNA from 1 species